AGAGCUCUCUUUGAACUGCUCCUGUGGUGUUGGCAAACUUUUCCAGUGAAAAGUCCAGUGACCAGGACUUCUGGUCUUGCUGCUUGGAGGCUCCUCCAGUUGAGAAGUGAUGCCUGGUGGUGGAAAUCACCUUUACUCUCCCAUUUUGUUCUCUGUCCCUAAGUGUACAAGACUGAUGCCCCACGUGCUGCAGUGCCAACACCUCUGGAGCCUGGCAGGAAAGCUCAGCAUGGAAGGUUUGGAAGCCACCCUUCCCAGGGCUCUGCUCCCCCCAGGAGCUGGUGAGGUUCUUGGCUCAUGGAAUCCAAAGCCAAAAAUGGGCAAAACGUUGGCAGAAGCACAGCUGGAGACAGUUCCACCCCUGAACAGACUGUUCUGGGCCAACAGACCAAAAAGGUGAUCCUUACUUUACUCUUCUGCAGGGUUUCCUGUAACUCCCAAAGCAGACUGACCACCUUGACAGCAGCCAGGGCAGGUUCCUCUUCAGGAUCUUCUAAAACUGUAGCCUGAUUUUUGGUUUUUUUUCAUUGUGAGGGCCAUAUUUGGUUACUGUGGAUAGUGCUUAUGUGGCUUAAAAAAUAAACUGGAACUAUAUUUUUACUCUGAGCAACAGAUGAAAAUGGAAUAAAACUGGCAGAGCAACUGUCUCCAGCUCUUUAAGAAAUUGAUCUCUCCUUACUGAUAAAUGGCUUCUUUUCUCAGCACGUCUUGGAUUAGUUUGUGAUGUUUUUCUUAUUGUUGCUCCGUUUCAUGAUAAACUCAUUUUCUGGGUUCUGGUUAGGAAUAAUUCCUUCUUUGUCCUUUUCUGCAUUCCCUCGUGUUCCCAGAACUUCUGAAAAAAGGAUCUUUUUUUUUUCCUCCAUUAGUCACCCUGGUCUGACAAAUACCUGCUUGUUUCCUCAUGUAAACGUGUAAGAACUAUCGCGUUUGCUUCUCCACGUUGCGUAGUUGGGCUUAAUCAUGAUGGUGAGGUUAAAAAAAAUCUAGAAGAAUAACAUCACUUACAAAGUACAGGCUUCAGUGUGGUACUUUUCAGGAGCAUCAUAGUCACUGAAACACUGUUUAUACUGAGAAAAAUCCAAGUGACCACCAACAGCUGUGAUUUCAGCUGCAGCUUUGAUCCCGUUAAUAAGACUGACUAAAAGACUUUCAGCCACUUAAAGCUCAAGGAAAAACACUUUGUGAAGGACAGUGCAGCAGCACCAAACAGGGAUUUUCAGCAAAGCUGGAGAGACUCCAAAGAGAAAGUUUUUCAGCUUUCCUUGCUGUUAAAUUUGAGCUUGUGUAACGUGGCAAACCUUGGCUGCUGCGACCCGAACAGUGCAUGGCUGCAUCCUGCUCCAGCAGGGACUGAGCUGACCUCUGGGAUGGGCACCUCUUCCUGAGCACCCUGGGAAACAUGGGCCUGAUGCAGCUAGUCAAAAAUGCUGAAAUGGGCACUGAUGUUCAGUGGUUUUCCUUUGUAUGAAGAGUUUCUGUGAGGAACAGAGCAAAGGAAACUGGGAAGCAUGUCACGUAUAGUUGGAGUGGUAGCUCUGGUCUGGAAAAAUGAGCCUUUGGUAGAGUCAAAUGUUCAGCAUAUUCUAUCAGAUUUAUUUGUUUGUUUUUUAAAAUCUACACCCUGGUCUCUAAUUGUGCACAUCAGCAGAUUGGUAGGUCAAGACCUAAGAAUGUUGCUAUUUUACUGAUUGAGGGAUGUGAUGUUAGAUCAGUUUCCUUGGAAAUGGUUGGCAUAUUAGUAUCGGCCAGGAGAGGUUUGUGCCCAGCUGCAGCACAAACCACAGACCUGGUUGGUUGGUUUGGUUUGGCUUUUUGCAUAUCUAGAUCUAGCCCUCAUGGCAUGGAGCAGUCACCAGCUUUUCCUGCAAUCUGUACAACAUAUCUUUUCUCACCUAGUGACCAGCCUUUCCAGCACUGUGUUUGGCUUCACCAACAAAAAGCACCAUCCAGCUCCUUAGGUAAGCUGCUUCUGACAAGGAAUAUGAUGGGAGCUGGGAAAUUACUCUGCUGUUUCUCUAAAUCAAGCUGGAAUGUCAGGGAUUUGGGUUUAACACCUUCCCCAAGCCUUUAAGAAAAUGCCAUUUACGACAGAAAGCAGAUUAAUAUUUUCUACUUUGCAGAUGCAAAUCUGACAUUUUGUGUUGGAUUCUGCUGACAUUAAUGCACCCACAGUGAAAGGCUGGGACAGGGCAAGACCAGGUUCUACACGAUGCAGCAAACAAAACUCUG